GAGGCUUCAUCGAGCUGGUUGCACUGCAUGCCUAUAAGUAGACACUAGCUACACACCUCUAGCUAGCUCUUCAUCCACUAACAUUUCAUAUACACACUCCGAGCUCGAGCUGAUCAAACGCGCAACGCAGCAAGCUCUAGCUAGCUAGGUACGUAGAGAGCACCACUGCACCAGUAGAUCACUGAAAGACACGAUGAAGAGAGGUGGCAAAGGCACGGGCGCUGGAGCGGCGACGACGGCAGUGCUUCUACUUGCGCUGCUGCUGGUUCUCGCUGCCUCGCAGGCGGACGGCGCUGCGGCGGCGCGCCGUCUUGGGGUUCCUCCUAAUGGCUGCACCUAUGACCCACCCAAAACGGGGGCGCCCUGCCACGGCCACAGCCCCAGUAAGCAAAGCGACGGGGCGGGCCGUGACAGGGUUUCAGCCUUAACCCCUCAACACCCGUGACAAGAGUGGUCCUAGGAGCAAGAAACUCCAUGAUAAUUUCAACGUAUGCUUGGCGAACAAAUGUGCUGUUUAGAUCAAAGUAGCAUUGUAGAAUUUGUUGAUUUUGAUAAUUCCGAUCGAGCAGAUCUUCCGUUGGUUGCUACAGGUAUUUUUCGUAUGUUAGUGUUUGUUUAUUUGUUAUUCAAAGUAAUAGAAAUGGGUGUCAUACUCAAAGAGGAAGGAUGUAUAGUUAGUACUUGAAAGUAUAUACUAUGGUUGUAAGAUUUUUCAGAGAACAAAACAGAGUUCCCCUGUUUAUCGAAGCUCCACCUUGUCUUCUUUCUCUGAAUGCAACGUGGUCAAUUUUGGCCUUUUGGGAACCUCUGCCGAAAGUAGUUGAGUCGUGUAUGUACAAGGAUAUCUAUAGGAAGCUCACAACAAUGUUU
rnacentral:lncRNA from 1 species